CCUACGGGCGGCAGCAGUGGGGAAUAUUGCACAAUGGGGGAAACCCUGAUGCAGCGACGCCGCGUGAGUGAAGAAGGAUUUCGGUACGUAAAGCUCUAGCAGCAGGGAAGAAAAUGACGGUACCUGACUAAUAAGCCCCGGCUAACUACGUGCCAGCAGCCGCGGUAAUACGUAGGGGGCAAGCGUUAUCCGGAUUUACUGGGUGUAAAGGGAGCGUAGACGGCAGCGCAAGUCUGGAGUGAAAUCCCAGGGCUUAACCAUGGAACUGCUUUGGAAACUGUGCAGCUAGAGGGCAGGAGAGGUAAGCGGAAGUCCUAGUGUAGCGGUGAAAUGCGUAGAUAUUAGGAGGAACACCAGUGGCGAAGGCGGCUUACUGGACUGUAACUGACGUUGAGGCGCGAAAGCGUGGGGAGCAAACAGGAUUAGAUACCCUUGUAGUC
rnacentral:rRNA from 1 species